rnacentral:rRNA from 1 species
GACGUAGGGGGCAAGCGUUGUCCGGAAUCAUUGGGCGUAAAGCGCUCGUAGGCGGACUUUUAAGUCGGUGCAGAAAGACCUGGGCUCAACUCAGGGAACGGCAUCGAUACUAUUGGUCUUGAGGUAAUUAGAGGAUGAUGGAAUUCCGGGUGGAGUGGUGAAAUGCGUAGAUAUCCGGAGGAACACCGGUGGCGAAGGCGGGUCUCUGGGCCAAAACUGACGCUGAGGAGCGAAAGCGUGGGGAGCGAACAGG